GACAGGCAGAACUUUGUCCCAUGGAGAUGUCAAAGACACAGGUUUAAGAUGAGAGGAGAAAAGUUUAAAGGAGACUGUGCGGGGCAAGUUUUUUAGAGGCUGGUGGGUGCCUGGAACACGUUGCCAGGGGUGGUGGUGAAGGCAGAUACGAUAGAGAUUGCAUUUAAGAGGCACAUGUAUAUGAAGGGAAUGGAGGGUUAUG